rnacentral:lncRNA from 1 species
CAUAGCAAAUUUUGUUUAUAGGCUGGAAGUUGUUACGCGCCCUCUAGAGAGCAAUCUGUCACAAAAAUUUGUC